UACGUAGGGUGCGAGCGUUAAUCGGAAUUACUGGGCGUAAAGCGUGCGCAGGCGGCUUUGCAAGACAGAUGUGAAAUCCCCGGGCUCAACCUGGGAACUGCAUUUGUGACUGCAAGGCUAGAGUACGGCAGAGGGGGAUGGAAUUCCGCGUGUAGCAGUGAAAUGCGUAGAUAUGCGGAGGAACACCAAUGGCGAAGGCAAUCCCCUGGGGCUGUACUGACGCUCAUGCACGAAAG
rnacentral:rRNA from 1 species